rnacentral:lncRNA from 1 species
GAUAAACAGACGGUGGAUAAACAGGCGAUGGAUAAACAGACGGUGGAUAAACAAACGGUAAAUAAAAAUGUAAUAAACGAUGAAAAAAACAUAUUAAAUAAUGUCAAAGAUACAUAUACUAAUAUAAAUAAAAAUAUAUGCGAAACUAUGUUACAAAUAACAGAUAAAACAAAUUCUUUUCAAGUACCUAUGGAACAUAUUAAUGAUAACAUAGGGGGAAUAACUGAACAGAACAAAAACCAAGUUGAUCAAUAUCAUAUUUGUACAGAAAAUAAAACAAAUUUAUAUAAUAUCCAAAUAGAUACAGUUGAUAAAAGAAGGAAACUGUUUGAUGAGGAGAUUAUAAGUGACUAUCCAAGUGAUGUCAACAAAAAUGGAAAAGGUAACAACAAAAAUAAAAAAACCAAAAAUUUAAAUAACACUGGUGAAACGAAAAAUAUUAUGUUGGAAAUUAUUGGAACGCUAAACGAAGAACAUGAAAAAAAAAAAAAGAUAUUUAGAAUAUAAGAAAGCCAAAAUUGAAGGAAAAAUAAAAAGAUUUAGCUCAGAACAAAACAAAACAAACCAUGUUAAAAAAGAAAAAUUGUUAGCAGAUAUAUCGGAAAUAGAACAUAUAAAACUUGACAACGCCAUGGAUAAAAAAAUGCAUAUGAAUAACUUGCACAAUCAUAUAAAUUUGGGAAGUAGCAAUUUGGGAAGUAGCAACUUGAAUAAAACAUUUUCCGAUAACCAAAGUUUAAUAAAGAAUUAUAAUUUGUAUGAAAACAUGAAUAACAGUAGAACCCCUAUAAUAACAAAACCACCAACAUUGUAUAAUAGAACUUCUGAAAAUAACAACUUAGGUUCGAAUAUUAAAAAUAAAAACAUUCAUGGAUUUAUUUCUAGGCCAUAUGUUAAAAAUGGUAAUACUAAUAACAACAAUAGCGACAAUGUACAAUAUUUACAUAAAAAUGAACCAAAUUCAAAAUGGAAUUUGCCGAUUCAAAAUAUGUCAACUACAAUGACUUCUAAUAGGAGUUCCAAUGUAGGACCCUCUAAUAAAAAUUUUGUUACAGAAAAACAUGCGUAUCCCCAAAAAUAUAACACCCAUGAUGGUACUAAUAAUUUUAAUUAUUCUCAUAUAUCUGAAGCAAUAAAUAUGUUGAGUAAUUUAAAAAAUGUAAAUAACAAUGCUAAUAAUAAUGACAAUUUUGGUUAUACAAAAAAUGUAAAUAAUUAUUCCAAUCCAUUAAAUGCUGAUUUAAAUCCAUUAACUACGAACUUAAAUCCAUUAACUACGAAUAUUGAUUCUAAGGAUUGUAUUUAUGAUAACGUUGUGCGUGAUAACAUGCAUAUAAAUAUAAAAAAUUAUAAUGUAACAGCAAAUGAACAACUGAUAAAUAACAACCAAUCAAUUAAAAUACUAAAUGAAAGUUUUAACAAAAUUAAAAAUUAUUCAAAUAAAAUAAAUCCUGAUGUUUAUCCAACCCAUUCCAAUAUCCAUAAUGGUUAUUCAGAUAUACCUAAACCUGAUAGUAAUAAUAAUAAUAAUAAUAUGUUUGAUUUUAUUUUUAAAAAAGAUGGGUAUAAUAAUAAUAAUAAUAAAAGUUAUAUCCAUAACAAUAAUAAUGAUAACAUUGAAGUAAAUACAUUUACUGAUACAGAUGGUUUAUAUAUGAAUACAAAUACAUAUAAUAACGAAUCAUUACCACACAGAUAUAACAAUCCAAAACAAAUGCAAAAAGUAAAUGAUAAUACCUUAGUUAAAGAUCCUUUUGAAUUUUAUAACAAUUAUAAUAAUGAACAGAAGGAGAAGGAGGAGGAAGAAGAAAUAAACGAUAAAAAUGUCAAAAUAAACCGAAUGCAAGGAAAAGAAAACAUAAUUACUAACUAUGAAGAACAUAAAGAUGUACUUAUUAAUGAUAAAACGAAUAUAAAUCAAAAUAUAACAGUUGAUAAAAAAAGAGGAUAUAUUACGAACUUUUUACACAAGACAUUUAACAAAUUCGUACCAAAUACGAACACAUAUGACGAGGUAAUUACAGCAAAAAAUGGAGCACAGACUGGAGAAGGUACAAUUAACAAAACACCUGAUGGAAAUAACCUUUUAAAUAAUAACAAAACAAAUAUAAAUGACUUAUUAAAUAACAUUUUCGAAAAAUAUAAACAGUUUGAGCAGAUUAAAGAAAAUCAUAAGGAAAACAUAACAUAUACAUAUCCCCCACCAAGCAUAUACAAAGACAACGAAAUUACUAAAAAUGAUUUAAUAAUAAAAUUUAAUUGUUAUAAAUAUGAAAAUAUAUCUUUGUAUUUAAAUUAUAAGACUACUACGAGUCCUAAUUUAAUGGAAACAAAAACCAAAACUAAUAAAUUUCCUAUUUUACCAUUACAAGGCUUACUUACAUCAGAAAAUUUAAAACAACUUAAUUUACCUCCAAUACCAAUUCUACCUAAUCUUUUACCUACACAAAACAUUAUACCAUCAGUUCUAUUACCAUUUAAUAACAUAUUAGAAUCGUCAAUAAACAAUAAUAAUAAUAAAACUACUAUUAAUAUACAACAAAAUAAUAGUAAUGAAAACAAAUAUGUGCAUAUCUAUAAUAAAAAAAACUUAUAUACUUCCUUUGAUGAGUUUGUAAAUAUUUUCGAUGAUGAUAUAAAACAAGUUUUGUUAAAAAAUAGAGAUCUGGCUCAUUUGUUAAUGAAUAAACCGGAUGUUGUACAGAAAAUGUUAAAAGGAGCGCAAUACGUUGACGAAGCAUUAUGCUCUUUACAAGAAGAAUUAAAAAGUUGGAACAAAUCAAACUUAAUUUCUUAACACAGAACGAGACGAAUUGUUGUCGUCGUCCUUUUUCGUUAUUUUAUUUUCCACCUUUUAUUUUUCAUUUUUCAUUUUCCACUUUUUAUUUCCCAUUUCAUAUUUCAUUUUAUUUUUUAAAUAUAGCUAUGCAUAUAUUUUGUUUAAGUUAACUUUGUCAUUUAUUAAUUACUUUUUAUUUUUUAUGCGUACAUUGUUAACAAUUUUUGCAAACAAAUUUUUUAAUUUUUAUUAUUAUAAUAAUUAUUAUUACGAUUUUGUAGUUGCCCCUUUUUUUUUUUUUUUUUUUUUUUUUUUUUUUUUUUUUGUUUUUUGUAAUAUAAAAAAAAAAAAAUACAGUAAAAAAAUAAUUUUUUUUUUUAUAAUUUUUGUGCAUUCGAGUUUUAUUCGAGUUUUAUUCGACGUUUAUUCAUUUUCUUUUAGAAGUUGUUAAAUUCAAAUUUAUGUAUACAUAUUUGUUGUUUUACUUUUUCAUUGUAUAUCUUCAUGUUCCCCCGAGCUUUCUCCCACAUACUAACCUCCAUUAUCG